rnacentral:rRNA from 1 species
UACCAGCACCCCGAGUGGUCGGGACGUUUAUUGGGCCUAAAGCAUCCGUAGCCGGUUCUACGAGUCUUCCGUUAAAUCCAACUGCUUAACAGGUGGGCUGCGGAAGAUACUAUAGAGCUAGGAGGCGGGAGAGGCAAGCGGUACUCGAUGGGUAGGGGUAAAAUCCGUUGAUCCAUUGAAGACCACCUGUGGCGAAGGCGGCCACCUAGCCCGCUGCUGACGCUGAAGCGCGACAGCGUGGGGAGCGAACUGG